rnacentral:rRNA from 1 species
AACGAACGCUGGCGGCAUGCCUAACACAUGCAAGUCGAACGAGACCUUCGGGUCUAGUGGCGCACGGGUGCGUAACGCGUGGGAACCUGCCCUUAGGUUCGGAAUAACUCCCCGAAAGGGGUGCUAAUACCGGAUAAUGUCUUCGGACCAAAGAUUUAUCGCCUUUGGAUGGGCCCGCGUUGGAUUCGCUAGUUGGUAGGGUAAAAGCCUACCAAGGCCACGAUCCAUAGCUGGUCUGAGAGGAUGAUCAGCCACACUGGGACUGAGACACGGCCCAGACUCCUACGGGAGGCAGCAGUGGGGAAUAUUGGACAAUGGGCGAAAGCCUGAUCCAGCAAUGCCGCGUGAGUGAUGAAGGCCUUAGGGUUGUAAAGCUCUUUUACCCGGGAUGAUAAUGACAGUACCGGGAGAAUAAGCUCCGGCUAACUCCGUG